ACAUCUCAACUUCAUCCUUUUGUUUCUGAUGAAUGAAUGGAUUGUGAAUUCUGGUAAGGUGUGUUUCAUUCAUUCAUUCAUGUUCAAAUUUUCUGAAUUUCCGACGGUUUGAAAAGAAAAAAAUUGAUUCAGUUAUGACCGUUAGUUUAUAUAUCGAGAUUUGGGUUUUCAUUAACAAGUCACAGAUAUGUAUAAACAAUUUGAUGCACGAUGUGUUCGAUUAAAGUGUUGUUUUUUAAAACACAUUGUUUAAACAUACCCAUGAACAUUGGGAUCUUCAAAGAGUACUUGCUGGUGUUAUCAUAUUUUAUUGUUAAAUAACUUAUCGCGUGACUUCAGCUUUUCUUGAUCAACUCAAUUUUUGUUUUUUGUUUUUUUAUAUUUAUAAUCUCUUCUCCAGAGUUUCAUAUCUCAUAUCUGAGUUUCGUCCAUUUUUGGACCUUGCAUGCUCCUCCGAUCACCACCGACGUGUCUAGUUAUGGUUGGCUCUUGAGAAAGUUAAACUCAUGGGCUUUAAAUCUUGGGAUCCAGUUUUGUAUGAUCACAGUCUGAAUUGACUCGGCCCAUUAAAGUAUCAUAGAUAUAUAUAAAUAGAAUUUUUUAUUUAACCCAUCUUCAUUUAAUGAUCUUAUAGAAAUGUACCAUAUAUAUUUCUCAAGUAUGGGUAAACAUUUUUUAUUUACCUAUUUAUAAAAUCGAUUAUAAAAAGUUAAA
rnacentral:lncRNA from 1 species